AUAAUGCAGUCGAGCGAACAGAUAAGGAGCUUGCUCCUUUGACGUUAGCGGCGGACGGGUGAGUAACACGUGGAUAACCUACCUAUAAGACUGGGAUAACUUCGGGAAACCGGAGCUAAUACCGGAUAACAUAUUGAACCGCAUGGUUCAAUAGUGAAAGGCGGCUUUGCUGUCACUUAUAGAUGGAUCCGCGCCGUAUUAGCUAGUUGGUAAGGUAACGGCUUACCAAGGCAACGAUAUGUAGCCGACCUGAGAGGGUGAUCGGCCACACUGGAACUGAGACACGGUCCAGACUCCUACGGGAGGCAGCAGUAGGGAAUCUUCCGCAAUGGGCGAAAGCCUGACGGAGCAACGCCGCGUGAGUGAUGAAGGUCUUCGGAUCGUAAAACUCUGUUAUCAGGGAAGAACAAAUGUGUAAGUAACUGUGCACAUCUUGACGGUACCUGAUCAGAAAGCCACGGCUAACUACGUGCCAGCAGCCGCGGUAAUACGUAGGUGGCAAGCGUUAUCCGGAAUUAUUGGGCGUAAAGCGCGCGUAGGCGGUUUUUUAAGUCUGAUGUGAAAGCCCACGGCUCAACCGUGGAGGGUCAUUGGAAACUGGAAAACUUGAGUGCAGAAGAGGAAAGUGGAAUUCCAUGUGUAGCGGUGAAAUGCGCAGAGAUAUGGAGGAACACCAGUGGCGAAGGCGACUUUCUGGUCUGUAACUGACGCUGAUGUGCGAAAGCGUGGGGAUCAAACAGGAUUAGAUACCCUGGUAGUCCACGCCGUAAC
rnacentral:rRNA from 1 species